rnacentral:rRNA from 1 species
CUCUCCAAUCUAUGGUCGGUCCGGGUGCCGUUGAAAAUCCGGAUCUUAAUUUGGCAAUGGAUCAGUGACUGGCUACCGACUGGGAUGGAAGUCCUCAAGCGUAAUGGCCCUGGCAAUGGUCUGUGUCUGCUUUGCGGUACGACCGAGCACUCAAACCACAUUUUCUUCUCCUGUGUGAUGGCGCAAUUCCUUUCGAGUUGCUUCCGGGAAGUGAUGGGUGCUGGGUGGUGCCACACCAACUUCCUGGAUUCGUACGUUGAAUUACAAUCACCCCUGCAGUGUCUCAACACACUACGUGGCUUGGGAUUGGGGUGCUGGCUUGGACGUUGUGAAAAAUUUGCAACAAUCUUGUGA